AGUGAACGCUGGCGGUAGGCCUAACACAUGCAAGUCGAACGGCAGCACAGUAAGAGCUUGCUCUUACGGGUGGCGAGUGGCGGACGGGUGAGGAAUACAUCGGAAUCUACUUUUUCGUGGGGGAUAACGUAGGGAAACUUACGCUAAUACCGCAUACGACCUACGGGUGAAAGCAGGGGAUCUUCGGACCUUGCGCGAUUGAAUGAGCCGAUGUCGGAUUAGCUAGUUGGCGGGGUAAAGGCCCACCAAGGCGACGAUCCGUAGCUGGUCUGAGAGGAUGAUCAGCCACCCUGGAACUGAGACACGGUCCAGACUCCUACGGGAGGCGGCAGUGGGGAAUAUUGGACAAUGGGCGCAAGCCUGAUCCAGCCAUACCGCGUGGGUGAAGAAGGCCUUCGGGUUGUAAAGCCCUUUUGUUGGGAAAGAAAGGCAGCAGGUUAAUACCCCGCUGUUCUGACGGUACCCAAAGAAUAAGCACCGGCUAACUUCGUG
rnacentral:rRNA from 1 species